GAUGAACGCUGGCGGCGUGCUUAACACAUGCAAGUCGAACGAAGCACUUAUGAAAGACUCUUCGGAUGAUGGAUUAAGUGACUGAGUGGCGGACGGGUGAGUAACGCGUGGGUAACCUGCCUCAUACAGGGGGAUAACAGUUAGAAAUGACUGCUAAUACCGCAUAAGCGCACAGUAUCGCAUGAUACCGUGUGCAAAACUCCGGUGGUAUGAGAUGGACCCGCGUCUGAUUAGCUAGUUGGUGAGGUAAAGGCUCACCAAGGCGACAAUCAGUAGCCGGCCUGAGAGGGUGAACGGCCACAUUGGGACUGAGACACGGCCCAAACUCCUACGGGAGGCAGCAGUGGGGAAUAUUGCACAAUGGGGGAAACCCUGAUGCAGCGACGCCGCGUGAGUGAAGAAGUAUUUCGGUAUGUAAAGCUCUAUCAGCAGGGAAGAAAAUGACGGUACCUGACUAAGAAGCACCGGCUAAAUACGUACCAGCCGCCGCAGUAAGAC
rnacentral:rRNA from 1 species